UUGGAAGAUAAUUGCAAGUUUUCAUGCAGGAGACAUGUUGUGAAAAAGGGCUCUAAAAAUUGGAUUUUUAAUGACAAAGGAAAAGGGCAAAGUAAGAAAAGUCAGUAGGAAAAGCAUUUGCAGGGAGAAAGUUUUGUGUAGUAGUCCCAGAAGGGCACUUGCUCAGCUUUUUUGAUGCUCAGAAACACUGGGUCGGUGAGGAAAGCCAGUCAUUUGAGUUGCUUUAUAUAUCACCAUCUCGUUGUAGAUGGUUGAGGCCGGUGUGGCAGAAAAAUACAGAACAUCAGAAUGUCCAGCAGAAUAUCGGUCCCACGAGGGUGUUCAGGCUCUAAUUGGCAGAACCUGUGAAUAUGUUGCCUGAUGUAGAAGAGACUGUACAGGUGUGGUUAGUUAAAAAACCCUGAGCAGGAGAAGUACCUUGAAUUAUUCAGGUGGGCCCAAUCUAGUCAUCAGUGACUUUAUAAAGUGAAAGGAGGUAGGCAGAGCGUCUGAGUGAGAGGGAGAUUUGAAGAUGCGGCCCUCUGGUUUUGAAGAUGGAAGAGAGUUGUGAGUUAACCACACAGGCCAUCUCUGGAAGACAGACAAGAGGAGAAAUCAAGUUUUCCCUCAGACUUUCUAGAAGGAAUAGAGCCUGGCUGAGGCUGGAUAUUUUGCCGGUAGGAGCCAUUUUUGAAUUCUGACCUCUAAUGAUAACUGGUUGUUGCUGUUAUUUUAAGCCAUUAAUUUUGAGGUACUUUGUUAUGGCAGUGAAAGAAUGGAUACGGAAGGCAGAAACAUGGAUGCAAGGCUCAUGGUGAUGGACACAGGUGGAGAGAGAAAGGCUGGUUUCACACAGGGAAAUUUUGGAGUGCAGAGUCAGGCUAUGGAGGAUGGGGCCAGGAUGGAGAGCUGGACUGCACAAAGUAGCUUUAAACACGGAAGCUCUGGUACGGUCUCACCCCACAGAAGAAACAUGCGAUUAAAAGACCAACAAAACCAUCCAAGUUCCAAAGAUUGCUGAUGGUUGUCACACUUUUGCUCUGAUAAUCAGGGGUUUUUUUUCCCCACACUGGGGCAGUUAAGGAAAAUGUUUCAUGAGGGUAGUGAAUUCCUGAGAUGUUUCAAGGAGGCAAACAAAGAGAACUAACAGAGGUAAUGAAGAAACAGUUCUAGAGAUGUGAAUGUUUCACAGGGACAUAACCUGAAGCCUAAGCUCCAGUGUUUUCUAGAUCUGCAGGCGCGUGAAGCUCACAACGCUGUAACAACCGAGUGGCAUACAACUUCGGGAGCAGCUUUG
rnacentral:lncRNA from 1 species